CCUACGGGCGGCUGCAGUGGGGAAUAUUGCACAAUGGGCGCAAGCCUGAUGCAGCCAUGCCGCGUGUGUGAAGAAGGCCUUCGGGUUGUAAAGCACUUUCAGCGGGGAGGAAGGCGUUAAGGUUAAUAACCUUGGCGAUUGACGUUACCCGCAGAAGAAGCACCGGCUAACUCCGUGCCAGCAGCCGCGGUAAUACGGAGGGUGCAAGCGUUAAUCGGAAUUACUGGGCGUAAAGCGCACGCAGGCGGUCUGUCAAGUCGGAUGUGAAAUCCCCGGGCACAACCUGGGAACUGCAUUCGAAACUGGCAGGCUAGAGUCUUGUAGAGGGGGGUAGAAUUCCAGGUGUAGCGGUGAAAUGCGUAGAGAUCUGGAGGAAUACCGGUGGCGAAGGCGGCCCCCUGGACAAAGACCGACGCUCAGGUGCGAAAGCGUGGGGAGCAAACAGGAUUAGAUACCCGGGUAGUC
rnacentral:rRNA from 1 species